CGGCUUCAAUCCGUUCGUUCACGGGGCUUUUCAUUGGCCGGCGGGGGCUUCAACAUCGGGAGCCUCAAUCACCUCGAUGCAGCAGUUUGAUUUUAAGCUGCGACGGGCGCUGAAAGGCCCCGCGAAUGGGCCGAUUCAGCCCUUAGAAAGCAUCUGAUAAAGUCCGGAUUACAAAACAUGGGGGGAUUGCCCCCCACCCCUCGAAGCAUAGGGAGGACAUGUCGUUGAUUUCCAAUACCAAUACCAUGAUAUUUAGCAAAAUAAUUUGCAAUGGAAAGAGAAUAAUUUGAAGAUGUCAGAUAAUAGCAUAGAUAACAGUAGGCAGGUGAAUAUUAAAAUAAAUGCCAUAUCCAUUUUGUGUCAACAAAGAAAGAAAUCGAUUUUUGGAAUCCAUUCCAAAAUUGUAUUUUAACAAGAAGCCCCAUUUAAAUUAAAGGAUUUAAUGAAAUGUCAAAAUGUAAACUUAUAAUAGUGUGUUUUAUUACUUUGGGGGAUCAAGGAAAAUAUUACUAAUAAGGUAAAUUCUAUACAUGGCAGCUGUGUGAAUGAGAAUUAAUGAUGUAAUAAACUAUGAAAAUAAAGUUGUGUGAUUCAUA